UUCCAGACUCCUACGGGAGGCAGCAGUGAGGAAUAUUGGUCAAUGGGCGGGAGCCUGAACCAGCCAAGUCGCGUGAGGGAUGACUGCCCUAUGGGUUGUAAACCUCUUUUGUAUGGGGGGAAUAAGCUUUACGAGUAGAGUGAUGACAGUACCAUACGAAUAAGCAUCGGCUAACUCCGUGCCAGCAGCCGCGGUAAUACGGAGGAUGCGAGCGUUAUCCGGAUUUAUUGGGUUUAAAGGGUGCGUAGGCGGAAUGCCAAGUCAGCGGUAAAAUCGCGGGGCUCAACCUCGCUCCGCCGUUGAAACUGGCGUCCUUGAGUGGGCGAGAAGUAUGCGGAAUGCGUGGUGUAGCGGUGAAAUGCAUAGAUAUCACGCAGAACUCCGAUUGCGAAGGCAGCAUACCGGCGCUCAACUGACGCUCAUGCACGAAAGUGUGGGUAUCGAACAGGAUUAGAUACCCUAGUAA
rnacentral:rRNA from 1 species